AGAGGGGUUAUCCCCCAAGGUUUUCGGUGAUAACUUCCAAUAAUCUCCAGCUACCACUUCUCCUACAUAUCCUGGCUCAGUGAAUAGCUCUACUUUUUACCCCGUCACCUAAACUGGAACUGGAGGUCAUUUGUGACUCCUCCUCCUUUUAUCCCACACACUUUCUGCCCAUCACCCAAGUCCCAUUCAACUUCAUAUCCUCUUGAACUAGUCCAUUUCCAUUUCUCUUCACUCCCACUGCGUCUGUCCUAGUUGAUGACUUCAGUGACCUCCACAAGCCCCAGUCUAUCCUUCAUUCUGAUGCCUGAUAAGCCUUUCUAAAAUCAGAUCUUGAUCCUCCCCUGCUCUAAGAUAAAGAGCUCCCCAUGUCUCUAAGAUAAAAUCCACACCAGUUAGCAAAAUUGGGAGGACCUCUGCCUAUCUCUCUAGCUUCCUCUGUUUUAUUAUUUAUUCCUUGAAAUUCAUUUUCCAGUCAUGUCAUCAAUGUGAAGUUCCAUGAAAAUGCCCUGUUUUCUCAAUUCUAUGGGCACUUCCUACUUCCUCUGUCAGGUGUCUUCACCCCUGCUUUCUUUGAUCUGGCUACCUGCUAUUCACCCCAGAAGAAGGGGUCAUCUCCCAGGAGCUAUCUCUGACCUCUCCUUCAGUUCCCCCAAAGUCAGGUAUAGCUGUCCCUCCUGGGCCAAAGAAGACAUCUGCUGUGUCUUUAUCUUACAUACCUAUCAGCUAUGCAAUUUUUUAAAAACCUACAGUGAAGUGUAACUUGAUUUACCUGUACUACUUGUUUACCCAGCCUAGUAAUAAUUUGAUAUGGUGGCUUCAAUCAAAAACUGAUUCAGCUAAAUGGACCUAUACACCAUCCACAGCACUUGGAUUGUCACUUGCAUUUAUCUUCAGCUGCUCCUAUUUAACCCUCUGGUCAAAACUAAAGGGCUCUGCAGGAACCGUGUGACUGAUGAUGUGAAAGACGUUACAAAAUUGGUGGCAAAUCUUCCAAAAGACUAUAAGAUAGCCCUCAAAUAUGUCCCCGGGAUGGAUGUUUUGCCUAGUCAUUGUUGGAUAAGCGUGAUGGUGGAACAGUUGUCAGUCAGUUUGACUGAUCUUCUGGACAAGUUUUCGAAUAUUUCUGAAGGCUUGAGUAAUUAUUCUAUCAUAGACAAACUUGUGAAAAUAGUGGAUGACCUUGUGGAGUGCGUGGAAGGACACUCAUCUGAGAAUGUAAAAAAAUCAUCUAAGAGCCCAGAACCCAGGCUUUUUACUCCUGAAGAAUUCUUUAGAAUUUUUAAUAGAUCCAUUGAUGCCUUCAAGGACUUGGAGAUGGUGGCAUCUAAAACUAGUGAAUGUGUGGUUUCUUCAACAUUAAGUCCUGAAAAAGGGAAGGCCACAAAUCCCAUAGAAGACUCCAGCAUACAAUGGGCAGUCAUGGCAUUACCAGCGUGCUUUUCUCUUGUAAUCGGAUUUGCUUUUGGAGCCUUCUACUGGAAGAAGAAACAACCGAAUCUCACAAGGACAGUUGAAAAUAUACAGAUUAACGAAGAGGAUAAUGAGAUAAGUAUGCUGCAAGAAAAAGAGAGAGAGUUUCAAGAGGUGUAAUUGUGGCUUAUAUCAACACUGUUACUUUUGUGCCUUGGCGGGUAACAGUUCAUGUUUGCUUCAUAAAUGAAGCAGCUUUAAACAAAUUCAUAUUCUGUCUGGAGUAACAGACUGCAUUUUUAUCUGUUCUUGCUACCCAUGACUCUAUAUGGAUGAUUCACAAAUUGGAACAAAGUGUUUUACUGUGAAACUGGCACUGAAUUAAUCAUCUAUAAAGAAGACCUUGCAUGGAGCAGGACUCUAUUUUAAAGACCUGGGGGACUGGUGGUCUCAUUUAGAACUUGCAACUGACGUUGGGAGAGAAAGCACGUGUCCCAGAUUGCAUGCACCAUUUUGCAUGCCUCCAGAAGUGUCUAAUUGCUGAAAAGUCACAUAGCUUUAUUUUCAGUUACAACCUGCAGUUCAUAGUAAUCUUGGUCUUUGCAAGUAGAUUUCAUCCUGUAUAGUGGGGAUAAUUUUUCUGAAAUGAAUCUAGAAAAAAUGUUAAGAACAAAAACUCAACAGCAUCAGCCAGUCUACAUUUAGAGAGCAGUAGGAACAAAAUGAUUGGAGUAGGCAACAUAUCAGCCUUGUAGCUGCUAAUUAAUGGUCUGGGUCUGAUCUUGGUCUCUUCUUGACAUAAACCUAUCUCCCACUAGACAAAUGGACAUGGUUAGCUGGAUCUAUCCAUGCUUGGGAGUCAGUGUUGUAUUAGAACAGUGAUGACAUCAAUAAAAUGGAAAAAAGAACCUGAAUGGGAGAAAAUAAUUGCAAGUCAUAUAUCUGAUAAGGGGCUAAUAGCUAAAUCUACCAAGAACUCCUACAAUAAUAGCAAAGAAAAAAAAGGAAAAAAACCUCUAACUUAAAAAUGGGAAGAUCUGAGUAGAUGUUUUUCCAAAGAAGACCUGCAAAUGGCCAACAGAGAGGAGACUCUCCAAAGGAGUUAUGGCCCAAAGAAGCCACGAACACUGAACAGCACGGUCACUGAGGAGGACAUUUUGCACCCCUUUCCCCUACCACUUAUAGAGUGUAUAAAUUGUGCUUGCAAAAUAUAUUAUGAAAUGUUUAUAUUCUAAAACUAUUACAGAGUUAUGUAAAGGGACUUAAGAGAAAUUGCUGAAUGUAAGAAGGUCUCAUUUUCAAUUUACAUCAUGAGAGAAACUAAAAAUUAUAUUUAGUAUCUAAGAUUAGAAAACCACACCCACAUGGUAAUAUGGGUAUUGAAAAUUAGGUUACUUGGCUUUUAUAAGAAUGAAAGGAAUCAGGAAAUUUUAGCUAUUUCUUGUAUAAUCACCAUUAUCAGUUUAAGGGAUCCAUUUAUUUAAAAUCAGGCACUCUAUAUUAAUAUUUAUGAAUUUAAAAUAGCGAGCUUUAUGUAGUUAUGCAUGUCAGUUUGCUGUUUAAAAUGUGUGACAGCGUUUGUUGUAUUAAGAGUGAAUUUGGUAAGAAUUCUCAAGAUGGACAUCAUGCUUUUAAACUAAAACUUUGAAGACAUUUUGUGAAUUUCCCUUGCCAUUUUUUUUAAAUAGUCGAACAUCUGACUAAAGAAAUGGUUUCUUGUGGUUUAAGAUUCUUUCAGUAGAUCAUGAACAUACAGAUGAAGGGAUCCAAAGCUUUCUAUUAUAACUUAAUUCUUGUUAUAACAUUAUUGUCAUGUUCUACCCCCUCAGAUGAUCAUUUUCAAUGUAGUGAUACAAAAGGGCAUGAAAAACUGCUAGCUUUCCUUUAUUUCAAAAGUCCAAGAAUUUCUAGUAUAGUUGGACUUCAUGUUAAAAGAGGAUCCAAAUACAACUCCAGUGAAGCGGCUUUUGCGCUUUUUUGUACCAAAAAGCCCAGAUGAUUUCUACGAUCCCUUCCUUCUCUAAAGUGCUGGGCUUCCUCAGAUGGUAGUCAUUUCUCUAAGAUACAACCCAGGUGUUUUGGGAAGCUGCAUUGACUUACUCAGGCCCUUAAAUAUCCCAUGGAUCAAACGUUUAGUAAUAAAACCAGCAAUCAGUUUAAUUGCUGAAAGGACCUGACUCUCAGUGUGUGGCUUUUUUUUGAAGAAACUAGAUAUAAGUUAGUAUGAGUUAUGUGUGUAGGUCAGGUGUAGAUUGAGAAGAUUGAUACUUCUCAAUUUAAUAGUUUAUUUCACCAAUGGUUUUGAUUUUCUUAGCCAUGAGAAAAUUCUGUUUAAUGAGCUUGAGAGUACAAUAAAUGCACUUUUAUUCUCAAAGGCAGGAGCUGGGUUUUAACACUCAAGGACAUGGUCCCAAUCAAUAGAGUUAAAUAACAAAUUCAGCAAGUUAUGAAAUCUGGCAUCAUAGGCAAGGGGUGAUAUAUUCUACUUAAUUAAAUGUAUUAGUUCAUUGAGAGUUACAUGAAUUACCAAUUUUUAAAACACUAAAGUUCAAUAAAAUGCAUGAACAGUAGAAAAAGGCUGAACAUGAUUUUGGAUGCUGGCUGCUUGAGAAUUAUAUGUCAUAUCUGCUUUGAGAUGAAUAUGUGUGUGUGUGUGUGUGUGUGUAUGUAUAUAUACACACACACACACAUUUGCUUUAUUUUAUCUGAUAUGUGUGCUGAAUAUCCUUCAGAAAUCAUGGAAAACUCACAACUGAUAUUAUCAAUCAUGAAAUCACCUUUUAAAUUGGUGCCAUGUAUCUGAUAUCUUUUGUAAUGUUCCAAAAUUGCCUUUUAAAAUGAUCUCAGAAGUCUGCAGAUUCUAAAUUAUAGUAAAAGCUUUGCACCUCUUUGGUAGAACACAAGUCUAUAAAGAAACUGGCUCUGUGAUAAAUGGUGCCUGCCCAGUAAUAUCAAAGUGUUGCCGGAUUUUGUAUUAUAAUCUAACGUGCUUACCACACUGCCAUUUUUUAAUGAGUCAGAGACAAAUUUCAGUUUUUUUCAAUAUGAUAAUAGAAUAAGUACCCUAUUCUCUUUAAAAAGAAGUAUAUGAAGAAUGAAAACGUGUUUUUUAAUGUAGUGUUUGCUUUUAGUAAGAAUUAACACAUUUAAUUGAGUAUGAAAGUACUUUGGGGAAACUUUGUGGCGUAUUUUGGUAUUCUAAUUCAACUGAGGUUUGAAAUUAACAGAAAAAUCCAUUCAUGAUUUAUGAUUCAUGGAUAUCUCAAUAUUUUUCUGCAGCUAGGUUUUGGUUUCAAAAUGUAAUUCCAAUAUGGGGCUUUUAGCCAUUUCCCACGCAUUCUUAGAAAUUUUUCAAAAGACAGUUUGGCAUAAUGAGGCAGAUGUUGGAAAAAAUUGUGAGAAACUUCUCUGCUGUUAACUGAUAUUGGUAAGUCACCUCUUCUCUUUGGAUCUCCAUGUUUUAUUUAUGGUGAAGUUGGAGGUCACACCUUAGGUGUGAAACCUAUUGAUAUCUGACUGACAAAGACAACAAAAUAGAUCUGAAACUAUUCCAUAUGAGAUAUUCCAUUCUGAUCUGUGAAUAAGCAAUUUGAACACAAAAAGUCAUUGCUAUUCUUGUUUGUAAUGUAAAUAGGAUCCAUUAGUAAAAGUAAAAUUCAAUCUCCUAUAGGGUGAAUUGGGUAACCAUUUACACAAGAGAUGGCUUUUUCCUUUGCUUAAGUAAACAUUUUUGGAUCACCUCUGAAGAAUGAAAACCACGAGUGCAUUUUAGUCAGGAAGAGAUACUAUAAGAUAUGUGCAACAUUUGGAAAUGCACCAAAUUAAGCAUUUAAAUGCUGUCAUUUUAUUAAAAGCUUAGAACAGAAAUGUAAGAUGCUUAAAGUUUUUGAGUGCCAAAAAAUAAUUUAUAAUCCAUUUGGAAAGGGGUCAUCCAUAAAUUUCAUUUUAAAAUUAGAAGGUGGGAUAAGAAUUUUAAAGUAAGCCAGCUUGUCUUUGAAACAGUAUUAUUUUGUAAAAUUGGCAUUAAAAUAUAAACCUUGAAAUUCUAACUAGUUAAUUUAUGAUAUUUUAUUGCACAAAUUAUGGUUUUGCUGCUUUUCAUUAACAAGUCUGGAAAUGCCUUUGUUACAAAUAAAGUAAUGGUACUUUUAUUUCCUAACAAGAUGUUUUAGAAAUAAUUUAAAGUGGAUAUUCAUAAUCCUAAAAUGUUUCCUAAGCAUUGUAAAUUUAUAACUGCCAUCUCCAACUACAUCCUCAUGAUGUUUUUAAAAAUAAAAUGGUUUUAAAAACAUAGUCUUUUCAACUACUUGAUUUCUCAGCUAUAAGGCUCAAAAUUUUUCAAUAAAAAUAUCCUCUAUUCUAAGGAUUAAUGUGUGAUUAUAGUGUCCAUUUGUCGCUAUUUUUUAAAUUGAUGGACUUGAAAAGUAUUCAAACAUAUAGAUGGAUGCAUAGAUACAUUGCUAGUUCAUUCAUAGAUUGGAGUUUGCAUAUUGUAAUGUAAAUGUAUGUCAACACUAUUCUAGUUUAUUAUGACUGAAGUGUAAUUAAAUAAAAAACGUUGUAAAAUGUGAUGUGUAUGUGUAUAUACUAUAUGUGUACUUUUUAAACUAGGUAUAUGUCCUGACCCUUUUUUAUACAGGUUUGAAUUUGAAAUUACAUUAUAUAUAUACAUAUACUUUAUUGUUCUAAAUAAAGAAUUUUAUGCACUCAUAA